AAUUGUUACAGCUCUUUUAGAAUUUGUGUAGCAGGUUUUCACCAGAAACCAAU
ensembl:snRNA U7 U7 small nuclear RNA